AACGACAUCGAAAGCUUGCUUUUGAUGGGCGUCGACCGGCGCACGGGUGAGUAACGCGUAUCCAACCUGCCCAUCACUUGGGGAUAACCUUGCGAAAGUAAGACUAAUACCCAAUGACGUCUCUAGAAGACAUCCGAAAGAGAUUAAAGAUUUAUCGGUGAUGGAUGGGGAUGCGUCUGAUUAGCUUGUUGGCGGGGUAACGGCCCACCAAGGCGACGAUCAGUAGGGGUUCUGAGAGGAAGGUCCCCCACAUUGGAACUGAGACACGGUCCAAACUCCUACGGGAGGCAGCAGUGAGGAAUAUUGGUCAAUGGACGAGAGUCUGAACCAGCCAAGUAGCGUGCAGGAUGACGGCCCUAUGGGUUGUAAACUGCUUUUAUAAGGGAAUAAAGUUAGUCUCGUGAGACUUUUUGCAUGUACCUUAUGAAUAAGGACCGGCUAAUUCCGUGCCAGCAGCCGCGGUAAUACGGAAGGUCCGGGCGUUAUCCGGAUUUAUUGGGUUUAAAGGGAGCGUAGGCCGGAGAUUAAGCGUGUUGUGAAAUGUAGACGCUCAACGUCUGCACUGCAGCGCGAACUGGUUUCCUUGAGUACGCACAAAGUGGGCGGAAUUCGUGGUGUAGCGGUGAAAUGCUUAGAUAUCACGAAGAACUCCGAUUGCGAAGGCAGCUCACUGGAGCGCAACUGACGCUGAAGCUCGAAAGUGCGGGUAUCGAACAGGAUUAGAUACCCUGGUAGUCCGCACGGUAAACGAUGGAUGCCCGCUGUUGGUCUGAAUAGGUCAGCGGCCAAGCGAAAGCAUUAAGCAUCCCACCUGGGG
rnacentral:rRNA from 1 species